rnacentral:lncRNA from 1 species
UUUCAUUUGGGAGUCUGCAAACGCAGGAGAUACAGUACUCCAGUACUGCACGGGUCAGCAAAUCUGCCCACUCGUUCCAACACCCUUUUCAUUUCAGAACAAAUAGAGUAUGGGGAUCACUGCAACAUUGUCAAGCCUUUCUGACACUUCAUCAGAAAACACAAGCAUAGGAAAUUUGUGGUCAUAUUUCUCGGCCUCCCAGGUGCACUCUUUUAUGAACAGAUCAUCGUUAGGGGGUUUUCAGUUACAAUUGAAAAGAUGUCUAAUGUCCUAAAGAACUAUCAGAAGUGACAGAAAUGCAAAAGUGGAAAGAGAAAUGUGACCAGUCACCCAUAAGAGAAAGAAUGAGAUCAAUGGAUUCAAGGACAAGAUGAAGGGAUGUAUGACGCCAGGACAAAGACUGUGACUGCUCUGGCACAGCAGUACUAGAGGGAUGCAUUUUGUGGUCUUCGCUCAGGAAUAAUGGCACCUAAGAGCACAUGGGUCCAAUGGACGUCAAAAGCAUUUAGACUUGCAGACUAGUUAUUUCUACCUACCAAGUAUCCUGGAAAUAGAAGACGUUUGUCUUUAUAUGAAGAUAUGAAGCAAACUUUGACAGUGAUCCAGGAAGUUGAACAAUUACUUAAGGUGAAGCAUAUCACUGGUGCAGCUAUCAACGGAGCCAUCCACAUUUUUUCAACAACAAAAAAUAUGAAGCCAUUUCCAGUCAGUUCCCUCCUGUCCUGCAUUUGUGGCCCAGUCUUUCCUCUGUUUAAGUCAAUCAGGACGUAUUCAUUGACUUAAACUGGAGCAGAUGAAGUUCUUCAACUUGCACAGGCUAAGAAGCCGGAGAGCUGAAUGUUUUCUACGAGCCAAGAGGAUUCAGUUGCAUCCCAUUUACAGGAUGAAUAGGAUUCAGUUUCAUCCGAAAGGAGCCUGGGUCAUCCAGACCGCACAGCAGUGAGAACAAAAGCACAGAAAAUGGGAACCAUUGGGAGACUGGCCUCUAAAGCACCUACAACCCUGACUACAUCUGUGAUGGCGACAAGCUCCCAGUGGGUCACAAUAAAUACCCAGUGGCAAUGGAGACAAGUGGGUGGAGUAUAAGAGUGCCUGGAGUUAACAUAAUGAAACUGAAUCCUUUUCUUGAACAAGAAGUGAAAUAAACUUUAAAUCAAAGUCUCCAUUAAGGCCCCUUCUGCAAGAUGCUACUUUCAGUUUCUGAUAAUCAUUAUAAAUGGAGCAGAUUGGAAAAACUCAAAUGGAUCCAAUAUGAAAAGCCUCACUGCCUCCAGUCACUGCAGGGGGAGAGGAAUGCAGCCCCACUUACCUCCAAACUCAUUUUGGUCUUCCUACACCCCGACAGUAAAAUACAUGUGGAAAACCAGAAAUGCUGUGAGGUGAUGACAAUUACCUGAAGAUAUGAAGAUGAGCAGUGAACAGACCAGAGAAGAGAAGUCAGGUGUGGAUGGCCAGGCCACACCAUACUUCUGUACUCAUUAAGAAAAUAAAUAAACUCUUAGUUGGAUACAUUAAAAAAGAGUUGGUGGUUUCCAGCUGCAACUCACUUUAGUUCUUUAAAAUUAUCCUUGCGUUUCUGUUUAAGAAUUUACCUUGAGGAGGGAUGGGAAUCUGCUGCAUGCUACCAUCUGUCUUUCCUUAGAAAUACAGCACAAUAAAAGUGAGAUUGUCUUGUCUCUUUUAUAAGGUUAGUAAGAAAGCUUUGAUUGCUUCUUCUCUUAUUCACUAGAAAUUUAUAGUAAGAUGUUACAUUUUCCUUUUGUCUGUUUGCUGCAACAUCUGAGCUGUGUGUGAAAGACUGUGCCCUGUGGAUGAGAAGGUGCUUCACAGAGAGCAGCUUCAGUGAGCCAACUUAUUCACCAUGGUUCAAAAAUGGAAACUCCCCUCCAUUCUCAGAAUUUUGGUGCUUUUUGUUAUAUUCUGGGAUACUGUUGUGGUUAUAGCUUACUUCUGCCCCUUCUCCUGAAAUGCCCAAAUUUCUGUGAUGUGAGUUUUGUUCUACUUUUAGGAUGCCAAGUGGAAGAUUAUUCUAUUUCACUUUUGAGUCCUUUCCUGUUAUUACCUCAAACAUCGACAACAAAUUUUUCGGCCUUUCCCUUUUCUGAAGCAGUGGUGACAAAGUUCCUCUUUCUUUCCCCUUCUUCUUUUUCUUUUAAAACACAAAGAAACAAAACAUUCUCCAGAUGUUUUGUGAUCUAAUCCCUUAUUAACUUUGGAAAGAUCCUUUCUACCACAGGGAUCAGAUUCAUUAAUCUAUGGCUUCCUGACUCCUCUCCUACAGUAUUUCCAGGAAUGCAGAUACCUAUUUUGGCAUGGAAUCUGUAUUCCAUGAGCACAAACCUUCAAAUAUAUCUAUUUACCACACCUCUGACUGUAUCCGUUUCUCAAUCGGAUAAUUUAAUUUCCAGUCAAAGCAGGCACACAAAUUAGGCAGCCAUUUAAUCAGUGAUUAACCAAAUAAUCUCCUUUUACCAUAAAUUUGUAGUGUCUGGAGACCUUGUAGACUUCUUGGAAAAGGUGGCCUGUCU